GCUGCACUUGGCCAGCGAGUCCUCAGAAUGGUGCCUGGCUUAUCGUUUUGGCCUUGGGGCCCCACUCGUCAUUAAUGUGGCCGGGGUGCAGUGGCAAAGUUUGGCCACAAGGUGUCAUCACAGCUCAUCCCUUGGGGCACGAAGGGGGAAAUGCUGGAACUCCUCUGGCACCUCUUCCCCUUUCUGGGACCUCUUGAAGAAACCGAGUGAGUCUAACAGGCUGCUGAUCUCGUCCGCCUUCAUUUUCUUCACGGGAACAGUCUGACGUGUCGUGCAGGGAACAAAGAGAAGUACAGACGCACAUGCAUUUGGACACAUGAAUAUCAGACGUGGAUUCUUCUCCUCCGAUGAAUCAUAUUCCAAGUUGUGGCUACACAGGAAGGAACGGAUCAAGGCAAACAACAGGGACUGAAAUGGCUACCAGAUGUGGUUCCAAUCUGUUCUCGUUGUCAUGGAAACACAGGGACUGGAAUAGGUUUUCUGAGUCCAGGGCUUUUGGCUGACUCAUAGGGCCUGAGUUUUAAAGCCUAGCUGUUUCUAUAGACUUGGCACACUGACGAUGCCCCAGCUCCAAGUCAUGUUUAGAUUGGCAGCCGACAUGUCAUUGAACCCCCUUCCCACACGCCAAACCCUGACUUUUUGACCAAGCUUUGCGUUUUCCUGUAUAGUCACUCCUUUGUGUUAUUUUAUGUUGCCUGAGCCAAAGUGAAUUUAUGUUUCACACGUCAAUCUUCAAUACCAAAUCAAUAAAACCAGCAAAAUAUUACUAAUAGCUAACUGCAGAGGGGACAUGAAAAGGCCAAGUUCCAUAAUCAUACACAGGCUUUUCCAAUUUAUAUCCAUUCAAAAGCAGCAAGCGCAGAAAUCCAUCACAAGUCGUACACAUGCUCAAUCAACACAGUUUAUCCUGAAAUGCUGCGCAGUGGUGACACGCAAUUCCAAAGUGUGACUUUCCCACAACACGUCAAGGAUGAAAAGCCAGAGAACAUGUGUUGGUAUGCUCAGCUGAGAAUCUUCUCCAUCUGCGAGUUGAGGAUGGGCAGAUGGAGGCAGUUGUGUCAACAUUCCUCUCCAUCCUGGCAAUGAAUCAGACUUCAAGCCAUUGUCGCAUGAAAAAUGGGCCGAUUCAGUGGGGGAAAGUGUUUAGAUUCCAGUAUGGGGUUGGAGAACAAGACUAAGUCUAUAGCCAGCUUAGUGAGACUGUACACAGUGGUUAUCUGAGCUAAAUGCUCAGAUCAGCAUGCUAACAUGCUCACAAUGACAAUAUUAACAGAUGUUUAGCAGGCAUAAUGUUUACUUUGUUCACCAUCUUAGUUUCUUAGCAUGCUAACAUUUUAAUUAGCACUAAACAAUGAAAUACAGAUGAGGUAGAUGGGCAAAAAAAAAUGAGUCUCAAAAGUCAAGCUCAUGAUGAUACUAGGAGAAUCCUAAAGUCAUCAAGGUUCAUCCUUUGGAGGCCAUAGAAGGCAAUCCAUCCAACAGUUUUUGUGAUUUUACAUUACAGAAUAAAGUAGUAGACUAGCUGACAUUGCUAUCCCUAGAGCUGUGCUUAGAGGAAAGGCUGUCCAUGCUGAGAGAAUCUUUCAUUGUUUUAAAAAAAACAAUCUUUUUAGAGUGGUUUAUAAAUCACUAGAUCAUAGAUCAACAUCAAUUUGUUGUCAACAUCAAAUCAAGGCAAAAUAAGAUAGUCCCUAAUUCCCUGAAGUUUUACAGCCCUGAAAAACACUUUUGAAUUACACACAUGUACAUUGUAGGUAGAACACCAGAAGUGUAGAAUCCAAAACAAAGCUGCUUCGCCUUCUGGUUCCAAUUACCCAUCACAUGACCUAUCCAUCCAUCCUUAUAUCCAUCCAUUCAUCCUCCUUCAUUGCCUUGUGGCCCAGCCCUGCUAUAUCCCUCUUCUCCUCGCCAAAAGAGGACACAUAAGCAGCGCGUGAUUAAGUCCUUAGCACAGAGUUUCCACUGUUUUUCCCCCAUGAAAGGAGCUCUUGUCCCACCGUCCUGAAGGAGCCAAAUGAACAGUUCCCUCAAACUCCCUGACUCUUUGAAGAGCCGCUGUGACCGAACGACUCUGGAGGACUCGGUACUUGGCAGCCCAGUAGCCUAGAGUCACAGGAAAGGGUCAAAUAUCAAUGAGCAUUUGAAUAAAUCUUUUUGAAGAAUACAAUAAACGAUUUAUGUUGUGUAGCACCCAAUAUCUCCCUUUUGACCUUUGUUGUUCUAGUUGAUUGUACACUGGAAAAAGACAAAAGAUGCCAAGGAGAGGUCAA